AGCAGCCGCGGUAAUUCCAGCUCCAAUAGCGUAUAUUAAAGUUGUUGCAGUUAAAAAGCUCGUAGUUGAAUUUCGAGACCGGUUUACUGGUCGUGCUUUUGUACGUACUGGUAUAAUCGGUUUCUCUCUUCUGACGAACUAUAAUGCCAUUAAUUUGGUGUUAUGGGAAAUCAGGACUGUUACUUUGAAAAAAUUAGAGUGUUUAAAGCAGGCUCACGCUUGAAUACAUUAGCAUGGAAUAACGGAAUAGGACGUUUGAUUCUAUUUUGUUGGUUUCUAGGAUCGACGUAAUGAUUAAUAGGGAUAGUUGGGGGCAUUAGUAUUCAAUUGUCAGAGGUGAAAUUCUUGGAUUUAUUGAAGACUAACUACUGCGAAAGCAUUUGCCAAGGAUGUUUUCAUUAAUCAAGAACGAAAGUUAGGGGAUCGAAGACGAUCAGAUACCGUCGUAGUCUUAACCAUAAACUAUGCCGACUAGGGAUCGGAUGAUGUUAAUUUUUAAUGACUCAUUCGGCACCUUACG
rnacentral:rRNA from 1 species